rnacentral:rRNA from 1 species
AGCGAACGCUGGCGGCAGGCCUAACACAUGCAAGUCGAACGGAUCCUUCGGGAUUAGUGGCGGACGGGUGAGUAACACGUGGGAACGUGCCCUUUGGUUCGGAACAACUCAGGGAAACUUGAGCUAAUACCGGAUGUGCCCUUCGGGGAAAGAUUUAUCGCCAUUGGAGCGGCCCGCGUCUGAUUAGCUAGUUGGUGAGGUAACGGCCCACCAAGGCGACGAUCAGUAGCUGGUCUGAGAGGAUGAUCAGCCACACUGGGACUGAGACACGGCCCAGACUCCUACGGGAGGCAGCAGUGGGGAAUCUUGCGCAAUGGGCGAAAGCCUGACGCAGCCAUGCCGCGUGAAUGAUGAAGGUCUUAGGAUUGUAAAAUUCUUUCAGCGGGGACGAUAAUGACGGUACCCGCAGAAGAAGCUCCGGCUAACUUCGUG